AACGAACGCUGGCGGCGUGCCUAACACAUGCAAGUCGAACGUGAAAGGGCUUCGGCCUGAGUAAAGUGGCGCACGGGUGAGUAACGCGUGGGUAAUCUGCCUCUGGGCGGGGGAUAACGGGUCGAAAGACCCGCUAAUACCGCAUGAGACCACGGCCCUGUGGGGCUGUGGGAAAAGAUGGGGAUCUUCGGACCUGUCACCUGGAGAUGAGCCCGCGUACCAUUAGGUAGUUGGUGGGGUAAUGGCCCACCAAGCCGAAGAUGGUUAGCUGGUCUGAGAGGAUGAUCAGCCACACUGGAACUGAGACACGGUCCAGACUCCUACGGGAGGCAGCAGUGGGGAA
rnacentral:rRNA from 1 species